GACGAACGCUGGCGGCGUGCUUAACACAUGCAAGUCGAACGCUGAAGCCUGGCUUUUGCUGGGUGGAUGAGUGGCGAACGGGUGAGUAACAUGUGAGUAACCUGCCCUCUUCUUUGGGAUAACGCCCGGAAACGGGUGCUAAUACUGGAUAUUCACUGAUCUUCGCAUGGGGGUUGGUGGAAAGGUUUUUUCUGGUGGGGGAUGGGCUCGCGGCCUAUCAGCUUGUUGGUGGGGUGAUGGCCUACCAAGGCUUUGACGGGUAGUCGGCCUGAGAGGGUGACCGGUCACAUUGGGACUGAGAUACGGCC
rnacentral:rRNA from 1 species